rnacentral:rRNA from 15 species
GUGCUGCAGAGAAGAGUUUGAUCCUGGCUCAGGAUGAACGCUGGCGGCGUGCUUAACACAUGCAAGUCGAGCGAGAAGUUUUGAAAAGAUUCUUCGGAUGAAAUUUAAAAUGGAAAGCGGCGGACGGGUGAGUAACGCGUAGGCAACCAUACAAAGGGAUAGCAUUUGGAAACGAAUAUUAAUACCUUAUGAAACUUAACUAGUGCAUGCUAGGUAGGUCAAAGAUUUAUCGGUAUGGGAUGGGCCUGCGUCUGACUGCCCUUAGCUAGUUGGUGAGGUAACGGCUCACCAAGGCGACGAUCAGUAGCCGACCUGAGAGGGUGAACGGCCACAUUGGAACUGAGACACGGUCCAAACUCCUACGGGAGGCAGCAGUGGGGAAUAUUGCACAAUGGGGGAAACCCUGAUGCAGCAACGCCGCGUGAACGAUGAAGGCCUUUGGGUCGUAAAGUUCUGUUCUAGGUGAUGAAAACUGACAGUAACCUAGGAGAAAGCCCCGGCUAACUCCGUGCCAGCAGCCGCGGUAAUACUGGAGGGGGCAAGCGUUAUCCGGAAUUAUUGGGCGUAAAGGGUACGUAGGUGGCCUUUUAAGCGUAGGGUAUAAGGCAAUGGCUCAACCAUUGUUCGCCCUAUGAACUGGAAGGCUUGAGUGCAGGAGAGGAAAGCGGAAUUCCUAGUGUAGCGGUGGAAUGCAUAGAUAUUAGGAGGAACAUCAGCGGCGAAGGCGGCUUUCUGGACUGCAACUGACACUGAGGUACGAAAGCGUGGGGAGCAAACAGGAUUAGAUACCCUGGUAGUCCACGCCGUAAACGAUGAGCACUAGGUGUCGGGGUCGUAAGGCUUCGGUGCCGUAGUUAACGCAUUAAGUGCUCCGCCUGGGGAGUACGCACGCAAGUGUGAAACUCAAAGGAAUUGACGGGGACCCGCACAAGCAGCGGAGCAUGUGGUUUAAUUCGAAGCAACGCGAGAACCUUACCAGGACUUGACAUCCUUCUGACCGGUCUUUAAUAGGACCUUUCUUUUGACAGAAGAGACAGGUGGUGCAUGGUUGUCGUCAGCUCGUGUCGUGAGAUGUUGGGUUAAGUCCCGCAACGAGCGCAACCCUUGUCAUUAGUUGCCAUCAUUAAGUUGGGCACUCUAGUGAGACUGCCGGGGACAACUCGGAGGAAGGUGGGGAUGACGUCAAAUCAUCAUGCCCCUUAUGUUCUGGGCUACACACGUGCUACAAUGGCUGGUACAAAGAGAAGCAAGACCGCAAGGUGGAGCAAAGCUCAAAAACCAGCCCCAGUUCGGAUUGUAGGCUGAAACUCGCCUACAUGAAGUCGGAGUUGCUAGUAAUCGCAGAUCAGAAUGCUGCGGUGAAUGCGUUCCCGGGUCUUGUACACACCGCCCGUCACACCAUGGAAGUUGGGGGCGCCCAAAGUUGGCAGAUAAAUAUGCUACCUAAGGUGAAACCAAUGACUGGGGUGAAGUCGUAACAAGGUACCCGUAGGAUCCCUGNNNNNNNNNNNNNNNNNNNN